rnacentral:rRNA from 1 species
CCUACGGGUGGCAGCAGUGGGGAAUAUUGCACAAUGGGGGAAACCCUGAUGCAGCGACGCCGCGUGAGUGAAGAAGUACUUCGUUAUGUAAAGCUCUAUCAGCAGGGAAGAAAAUGACGGUACCUGUGUAAGAAGCCCCGGCUAACUACGUGCCAGCAGCCGAGGGAAUAAGGAGGGGGCAAGCGUUAUCCGGAUUUACUGGGUGUAAAGGGAGCGUAGACGGCAGUGCAAGUCUGGAGUGAAAGGCGGGGGGUCAACCCCCGGACUGCUCUGGAAACUGUAUGGCUGGAGUGCAGGAGAGGUAAGUGGAAUGCCUGGUGUAGCGGUGAAAUGCGUAGAUAUUAGGAGGAACACCAGUGGCGAAGGCGGCUUACUGG